rnacentral:rRNA from 1 species
CCUACGGGUGGCAGCAGUGAGGAAUAUUGGUCAAUGGGCGUAAGCCUGAACCAGCCAAGUCGCGUGAGGGAUGAAGGUUCUAUGGAUCGUAAACCUCUUUUAUAAGGGAAUAAAGUGUGGGACGUGUCCUAUUUUGUAUGUACCUUAUGAAUAAGGAUCGGCUAACUCCGUGCCAGCAGCCGCGGUAAUACGGAGGAUCCGAGCGUUAUCCGGAUUUAUUGGGUUUAAAGGGUGCGUAGGCUGUGAGGUAAGUCAGCGGUGAAAUGCCCCCGCUCAACGGGGUGAAGUGCCAUUGAUACUGCCUUGCUGGAAUGCGGAUGCCGUGGGAGGAAUGUGUGGUGUAGCGGUGAAAUGCAUAGAUAUCACACAGAACACCGAUUGCGAAGGCAUCUCACGAAUCCGCGAUUGACGCUGAUGCACGAAAGCGUGGGUAUCAAACAGGAUUAGAUACCCGUGUAGUC